GAUGAACGCUGGCGGCGUGCCUAAUACAUGCAAGUCGAGCGAACAGAUGAGAAGCUUGCUUCUCUGAUGUUAGCGGCGGACGGGUGAGUAACACGUGGGUAACCUACCUAUAAGACUGGGAUAACUCCGGGAAACCGGGGCUAAUACCGGAUAAUAUUUUGAACCGCAUGGUUCAAUAGUGAAAGACGGUUUCGGCUGUCACUUAUAGAUGGACCCGCGCCGUAUUAGCUAGUUGGUAAGGUAACGGCUUACCAAGGCGACGAUACGUAGCCGACCUGAGAGGGUGAUCGGCCACACUGGAACUGAGACACGGUCCAGACUCCUACGGGAGGCAGCAGUAGGGAAUCGUCCGCAAUGGGCGAAAGCCUGACGGAGCAACGCCGCGUGAGUGAUGAAGGUAUUCGGAUCGUAAAACUCUGUUGUUAGGGAAGAACAAAUUUGUUAGUAACUGAACAAGUCUUGACGGUACCUAACCAGAAAGCCACGGCUAACUACGUGCCAGCAGCCGCCGUAA
rnacentral:rRNA from 1 species